ACGGCCGCAGAUCCCGGCAACUUGCGAGCCGGGAAAAGUUUGCGGCGCCUCCGCGGGGCGGCGCGACGCGGCCCGUACCUCGCGUCCGCGGUCAUCGCGGGUGACUUUCUCGACUCGUCGUCAGCCGGGGCCGCUGCGCGGCCGGCGGGGACUGCGGGGCGGGCCGGAGUCCGUCCGAGGGCUCCCGCACCUCGGGCUGCGGAUUUCAGGUACUCCACUGGGCAUUUUCUCUUCAUGGAGCUUAUAGCAACAAAAGUGUUUUACAAAAGAACAUUAAAAUCUCCCCAGAUGCUCACUGCUCUGAUCAUUUCCCCUACAGCAUCAGACAUGUUGGCAUCAUCUCUUAGUUGGGCCCUGUGGCCAGGGAACCUUUCAUGAAACCACCUCUGCAGUCCUGGAGAGUUGCUGUAGAAGAAGGAAAAGAGAAGAAGACAACACAACACAGGAGGGGAUAAGUACCUCUGGACACAAUGGA
rnacentral:lncRNA from 1 species